UAAAAAGGUAAUUCAGUUGCUCUGCAUGCAGAAUUGACAUUAAGAGAUUGUGGAUGCAUAAUAUUUUGGUACAUGGGCACCUGGUGAUCGUUGGUCCUGGCACCCUG